UGGGGAAUUUAGCACAAUGGGGGAAACCCUGAUGCAGCGACGCCGCGUGAUUUAGAAGGCCUUCGGGUUGUAAAAAUCUUUUCUAUGGGAAGAAAAUGACAGUACCAUAGGAAUAAGGACUGGCUAAUUACGUGCCAGCAGCCGCGGUAAUACGUAAGGUCCGAGCGGUGUGCGGAAUCAUUGGGCGUAAAGGGUACGUAGGCGGGUAAGCAAGUUAGAAGUGAAAUCCUGUAGCUCAACAACAGUAAGCUUUUAAGACUGCUCAUCUUGAGAUAUGGAAGGGAAAGUGGAAUUCCUAGUGUAGCGAUGAAAUGCGCAUAUAUUAGGAGAACUACGGGUAGCGAAGGCUACUUUCUGGCCAUAGACUGACGCUGAGGAACGAAAGCGUGGGUAGCAAACAGA
rnacentral:rRNA from 1 species